rnacentral:rRNA from 1 species
UACGGGGGGGGCAAGCGUUGUUCGGAAUUACUGGGCGUAAAGGGCUCGUAGGUGGCCAACUAAGUCAGACGUGAAAUCCCUCAGCUUAACUGGGGAACUGCGUCUGAUACUGGAUGGCUUGAGAUUGGGAGAGGGAUGCGGAAUUCCAGGUGUAGCGGUGAAAUGCGUAGAUAUCUGGAGGAACACCGGUGGCGAAGGCGGCAUCCUGGACCAACACUGACACUGAGGAGCGAAAGCCAGGGGAGCGAACAGG